rnacentral:rRNA from 1 species
GACAGAGGUGCCGAGCGUUAGGCGGAAUCACUGGGCUUAAAGCGUGUGUAGGCGGAUCGUUAAGUGCCUUGUGAAAUCCCACGGCUCACCCGUGGAACUGCUGGGCAUACUGGCGAUCUUGAGGCAUUCAGGGGCGAGCGGAACAAAUGGUGGAGCGGUGAAAUGCGUAGAUAUCAUUUGGAACGCCAAUGGUGAAAACAGCUCGCUGGGAAUGAUCUGACGCUGAGACGCGAAAGCCAGGGGAGCGAACGGG